rnacentral:rRNA from 1 species
UACAGAGGUCCCAAGCGUUGUUCGGAUUCACUGGGCGUAAAGGGUGCGUAGGCGGUCAGGUAAGUUUGAUGUGAAAUCCCGAAGCCUAACUUCGGAACUGCAUUGAAUACUAUCUGGCUAGAGGAAUGGAGGGGAGACUGGAAUGCUCGGUGUAGCAGUGAAAUGCGUAGAUAUCGAGCGGAACACCAGUGGCGAAGGCGAGUCUCUGGACAUUUCCUGACGCUGAGGCACGAAAGCCAGGGGAGCAAACGGG